GUGUGUCAGUUAUAACUAGAGAAAGGGAGUGUGGUCCCCCCUCAUUUAUUCUUUUUUUCCCUUUUUUUGAUGAAAAGGUCAACAAAAAAAAAAUGUUUGCUCAGAGAGAAAAGAUAUUAUGUAAAUAAUUAGCCCAUUCCAAGAUUAUGUUGCGCAUAUAUAUAGUACAGUAGAGAGCUGUAAGAGGACUAGAAUUUGCAGCAGGACUGGACAGUUUAUGACUUUGAGAAGUAGGAACUCUCUGUAGCUCUGCUUAUCUGGAAUGCAUGCAGAAUGGCUUGUACUGGCUUAAUGGAAUGAGGCCCCCAGCCUUGAUCUAGAUCUUCAACUUGGGAAGAAUCAGGAAUCGAUGAAGGAGGUCUCAACUGCUACUGCCAUACUGAACGGAACAGAAUCUCUUCAUCGAUUAAUAAGGAGGCUGUGUUACCUAAUUAGGCUCAGCCACAGCUUUCUCAUCCAUGCUUUGGGUCUUCUGAGAUUGUCCGAAGCAUCAAAAGGGUUGUCCUGUCUUGCCAGAGAAGACAGUGCUGAUAUCGAAGGCCAACAAAGACUGAAAACUGGGUCAUCCAUCAGUGUUUCGAGGGCAUCCAGAGUCAUAGAUUUGGCACUGCAUCCGUGAGCCAGCCGCCAGUGAGAACAGGUGUCUGACACCCCUCCCCACCGCCUUGUCCACGGCCUCCUGGACCUGCGCCGUCCCUAAACUCUUCCAGGUAUCCUUGGGGUCUAAUGUCAGUUUCAGUUCCCAGACCCGUUGCUUGAUACCCUCCCUCCUUCAAGGAGGGGCUUUUUGCUAGCCUCAGCUCAACUCACACUGGCCCUCUGGGAUCACUUCUGCUUUCUCUGCUCCAGGUCAACCCACCACCCGAUCCCCGAAUCGAAAGCACAGAA
rnacentral:lncRNA from 12 species